rnacentral:lncRNA from 1 species
AGAGGGAAGCUCUUCCUUGGUCACUGAACCCCCACGCCCACCUUCCGCCCUUCAUUUCACCGUCCAUCUCAGCCAGCAAAGUGCAGAGAAGCCAGCAACGUAGGGCCUCUCCUCAGCACAAGAAUGUUGGGUUUUCUCUCUUUUCGGCCCUUGCGUCAUCGCCGCUAUCUUGUCUCCGUUCCACCAAGCCGCCACCGCAACUCACAAGGACCCGAGGCAAGUGGAUAUCCUCCAUUCUAUCCUAUAUUGAUCGUUGUCGUGUAACAAGAAUAGUUUGUAGAAACCCAAGAACAUUGUUGAGAUUUUCGUUUAAUCAAAGUUUCGACUACGUUGUUCGUUUAGUCGGAAGUUCCAACUAUGUUACUUAGCUAUGUUGUCGAGUUCGAAAUAGUCGAACUUUUAGUUAGGUCUAUAGAGGCAUGGAUAGUUGAUAUUUGGCACAUGCGAAGGCCGGAACGGCAGAAAUUUUGAAAGAAAAUCGGGACAGGCUGAGGGCGGGUUCAGAUCUAGCCCGACCCAGAAGCUUGCUAAUUUUGUACCGACUUAUGUGGUGCAAAUUUCAUGAGGUGUUCUUCACAAGAGUUGUUCCUUAUUGACUGUUCUAUGACAUACUUUAAUUUCAUAAUUUUUUGAUUUCAUAUGACAAAAAAAUAUAUUGGAAAAACUUCAGGAUUCAAAAUCUGUUUUUGGGUCGCUAGACUGACCUCUUUAUGCUUUUCAUUUUCUACAGAUUUUUCGGUCCAGAAUUUCAAAAUAUGUUCUUCACAAAAGUUGUAGAGCACAUCCCAAGCUACCAUAUACUAAAUUUUCAUAAUUUUUCGAUCUCAAUAGGUUGGUGAAAUAUUUAUUUUUUCGUCCUGGAGAUUUUGACUGUUCUGAGCCUGGAACUGUAUGAACUGAACCGGAUUUUAAGUUCUUCACGAAAGAUAUUUCUUUAGAUCUUUUCCACCUCAUACUAAAGUUUCAUAAUUUUUGGAGAUCGAUUACCUAGACAACAACCAUUGACUCUAGAGACGUGGGAGACACCUUAUAAGGCUAGUUUAGGCCUAGAAUGUGGGACCUUUCCCACGGUUCACUUAAUAUCUAUAUGGAUGAGUUUGUAUUAGUCUAAGGGAUGAAAAUGAAUGAUGAUUCAUUAUAUGCAUGCUUGAAUCCCUGAAUGGUAGUGGUGUUAACGUGCUUUUAAUUGAAUUAUGAAAUUGUUGCAUCGUAGUGUGAAUGUGUGAUUGAUAGUGCCAUCAGUCCUUGGGACGACGAUGCCCCGAGUUGUAGUAGGGAUGCCUGAAGGGGUAACUGGGUUCCUCCAAAUGCCUAAGGGGUGUAACAUGGUUCCCCCAGAUGCCUCACGAUACCGGAUGAGUGCGAGAUGCUCGAGGGUAUCAGGGUUCCCCAGAAGAUGAUGGCAGUAUGUACUUGUAUUGAUUGCAACUUUGGUAUUCUUGAAUUGAACUAUUAGUCAUUUGUUAAGGAAAUUUAUUUCUUAUAUUGAUCAACCGUGUAUUCUGAAAGCUUCUCGGAUCAUUAGAAUGUCAAUCCCACCUGCCUCCCCGAUGAUUCGCGACGAGGUGACGAUGAACUUCACUUGGGAGGAGGGAACAAGAUUUUUUGGAGCUCAAAAGAUUUUGAGAACAUCAAGGGCCACUGUUAGACGAGACUUGUACAGCUAGGUGGGGAGGGGUGACCGACCUAGAGUCUAGUAUAGUUAGUCUAGUGCUGACCUUUUGUACUUCCCCAUGGCACCCCACUUGUCAUUUGAUGUACAUGUAUGAAGAAAUAAAAAAUGAAAUUGCCCUAUUUAUAGAAAAUCGUGUACCUUGGAAUUUUCUGUUGUCCCUUACGCUUCCACAUGCUUAAGAAAAAAA